rnacentral:lncRNA from 1 species
GCCGCCAUGCUCACGAACGACAAGGUAGUUGUUUUAAUUAAAUAACGAUCUUGAGAAUAUCGAGUCGACACCUUCACAUUUGACUUUUCAGAUGAAGUUUGGGCUGAGUUAGUGACGUAACCGUUGCCAACCAACACGCCACUGAGACAUCGCUGACGAUGUCUUCGUUGUUUCCGAACAGGGACGAGAGGAGAGAGAGGUAUAUCUGAUGCCCGUCGCUGCCGAGAGGUGGGAACCAGUGGAUCGCCGGCGGAGACGGAGUGGAUUUUGCGGCUGUGUAGAGUUCGUUUAGAACUAGGCCGUUAAAGAUUGAGAGGACAAAAGACGAUAAGAUUUGAUUUUGUGUUAGGAUAUUUCAGAAAAAGCUCUUAAAUAAAAACGUAAACAAAUCAACUUAUGAACCAUUUAAAAAAAGAUUGGGUCUUAUAUUGGGUAAGUUAUGCGAGAGAGAUAAAAAACCCAUUUCCAGGUUUAUGUCCACAUAUGUAAUAUACUUGAUUAUGCUUGGAUUUAAACUUGAUUUCUAAACGUUACAUAUUUGAAAAUGUCAUAAAAAUAAAUUUAGAAUAAAAAUAUAAUUUAUAUUUAUAUUUUGUAAAAUUGAAAAAAAAACACUCUCUUUCAUUGAGACCACA